rnacentral:rRNA from 1 species
UACGGGGGGAGCAAGCGUUGUUCGGAUUUACUGGGCGUAAAGGGCGCGUAGGCGGCACCGCAAGUCGGUUGUGAAAUCUCCGGGCUUAACUCGGAAAGGUCAACUGAUACUGCGGAGCUAGAGUGCGGAAGGGGCAACUGGAAUUCUCGGUGUAGCGGUGAAAUGCGUAGAUAUCGAGAGGAACACCUGCGGCGAAGGCGGGUUGCUGGGCCGACACUGACGCUGAUGCGCGAAAGCCAGGGGAGCGAACGGG